GUCAAGUCAUCAUGCCCCUUAUGCCCAGGGCUACACACGUGCUACAUUGGCGCGUACAGAGGGAAGCGAUACCGCGAGGUGGAGCAAAUCCCAUAAAGCUGGUCGUAGUCCGGAUCGCAGUCUGCAACUCGGCUGCGUGAAGUCGGAAUCGCUAGUAAUCGUGAAUCAGCGAUGUCACGGUGAAUACGUUCCCGGGUCUU
rnacentral:rRNA from 1 species